AACUGAAGAGUUUGAUCAUGGCUCAGAUUGAACGCUGGCGGCAGGCCUAACACAUGCAAGUCGAGCGGUAGAAGGAAGCUUGCUUCCUUUGAGAGCGGCGGACGGGUGAGUAAUGCCUAGGAAUCUGCCUGGUAGUGGGGGAUAACGUUCGGAAACGGACGCUAAUACCGCAUACGUCCUACGGGAGAAAGCAGGGGACCUUCGGGCCUUGCGCUAUCAGAUGAGCCUAGGUCGGAUUAGCUUGUUGGUGAGGUAAUGGCUCACCAAGGCGACGAUCCGUAACUGGUCUGAGAGGAUGAUCAGUCACACUGGAACUGAGACACGGUCCAGACUCCUACGGGAGGCAGCAGUGGGGAAUAUUGGACAAUGGGCGAAAGCCUGAUCCAGCCAUGCCGCGUGUGUGAAGAAGGUCUUAGGAUUGUAAAGCACUUUAAGUUGGGAGGAAGGGUUGUAGUUUAAUACGCUGCAAUCUUGACGUUACCGACAGAAUAAGCACCGGCUAACUCUGUGCCAGCAGCCGCGGUAAUACAGAGGGUGCAAGCGUUAAUCGGAAUUACUGGGCGUAAAGCGCGCGUAGGUGGCAAAGUAAGAUGGGUGUGAAAUCCCCGGGCUCAACCUGGGAACUGCAUCCAUAACUGCUUCGCUAGAGUACGGUAGAGGGUAGUGGAAUUUCCUGUGUAGCGGUGAAAUGCGUAGAUAUAGGAAGGAACACCAGUGGCGAAGGCGACUACCUGGACUGAUACUGACACUGAGGUGCGAAAGCGUGGGGAGCAAACAGGAUUAGAU
rnacentral:rRNA from 1 species